AAUCUAAAAUUAAUGUUAUUGCUUUUAGAAAACUCAAAUGAAUGGUCAACCACAAGCUCAACACAACACACAAGUUGAAACUUGUACUCAAGAAAGUGUGGUGAAUUCAAAUUCUCUUCCACAUGUAGUGAGUAUGCCUACUUAUAGUAACACAAUUGCAUCAAAUUCUAUUUCAGGGUUUGAGGCAGUUCAUGAAUGUUGACAAUGAAUUAAGAUCACGCGUCACAACCGAUGAACUUGUAGCUGAGGU